rnacentral:rRNA from 1 species
CUACUCUUUUUUACCCUUACUUUCCAUGGAUGUGGGUUGUGUUUUUUUUUUUUUUUCGGGGGCCGACCAACCCCCCCUUUUUUUUGUUCAUAUUCCAAAAACGGAGGAAAAGAAACCAACAGCCAUUGCCCAGUACGGCGAGUGAAGCGGCAACAGCUCAAAUUUGAAAUCUGGCCCCCCCCGGGGGGCCCGAGUUGUAAUUUGCAGAUUGUGCUUUUGGCGAGGGGCCUUCCGAGUUCCCUGGAACGGGACGCCAUAGAGGGUGAGAGCCCCGUCUGGUCGGCCGCCGAGCCUCUGUAAAGCACCUUCGACGAGUCGAGUAGUUUGGGAAUGCUGCUCAAAAUGGGAGGUAUAUGUCUUCUAAAGCUAAAUACCGGCCAGAGACCGAUAGCGCACAAGUAGAGUGAUCGAAAGAUGAAAAGCACCUUGAAAAGGGGGUUAAACAGUACGUGAAAUUGUUGAAAGGGAAGCGCUCGCGACCAGACUUGGGCCCGGCGGAUCACCCAGCGUUCUCGCUGGGGCACUCCGCCUCGUCCCAGGCCAGCAUCGGUUCGUGCCGGGGGACAAAGACGGCGGGAACGUGGCUCCCCCGGGAGUGUUAUAGCCCGCCGUGCAAUGCCCUGGGGCGGACCGAGGAUUCGCGCAUCUGCAUGAUGCUGCGUAAUGGUCACCAGCGACCCGUCUUAACACCGGGACCAAGCGCAUCCAUGCAGAAUGCGCGAAUCCUCGGUCCGCCCCAGGGCAUUGCACGGCGGGCUAUAACACUCCCGGGGGAGCCACGUUCCCGCCGUCUUUGUCCCCGGCACGAACCGAUGCUGGCCUGGGACGAGGCCGGAGUGCCCCAGCGAGAACGCUGGGGUGAUCGCCGGGCCAAGUCUGGUGCGAGCGCUUCCUUUCACAAUUCCGUACUGUUUAACCCUUUUCAAGGUGCUUUUCAUCUUUCAUCACUCUACUGGUGCGCUAUCGGUCUCUGGCCGGUAUUUACUUAGAAGAAUAUACUCCAUUGUGAGCAGCAUCCAAACUACUCACUCGUCAAGGUGCUCUCAGAGCGCGCGGCGACCCAAGGGCUCUCCCCUCUAUGGCAUCCGUUCAGGGAACUCGAAGGCCUCGCGAAGCAUCUGCACUAACUGGGGCCCUGGGGGCCGAAUCAAUUACGAUGCGCGUCACUGCGUCUGAGCAUCCUGGUAUCAUUUCUCCCUAAUGGAGUUGCAACAAA